rnacentral:lncRNA from 1 species
ACGUACGUACGUAUACGUACGUCCUGUAGUUAAUUCGGCGCUCUGGAGGCAGCAGGACGCGCGCGUGAGUGGCAGCAGGCACAGUGACAGGCGAGUGUGCCUGUCUACUAGUGUGUGCGAGCAGCCAGCUCAGCUCAAGCUGCAGUUUGCAGAGGGACAGGGCCAAUGGGCCAUUUCUUUCUCAUCCGUUUCUUGAGCGGCAAGUUCUAAUUACACCCACCGUACUCCUCGACACACCAUUUGUAGGAACUAAAAAAUUUUCAAGAUUUUUCGUUACAUCAAAUCUUAUAGUAUAUAUAUAUAUAUAAAGCAUUAAAUAUAGAUAAAAAUAAAAAUUAAUUACAUAGUUUACUUGUAAAUCGCGAGAUAAAUCUUUUGAACCUAAAUAGUUCAUGAUUUAAAUUGUACAAUUAAUUAGUCUAUGACCCGGGUCUUCACAAUAUUUUGAGCCUAGUUAGUCUCACAAUGUAAAGACCCGGGUCUUAUCUUCGCAGUAAAUGCAUGGACCCAACAUAGGAACGCCCAUUGUCGACGCUCUUAUAGAUUUUCUACAUGUUGAAACCAACCUAUUGUUCACAUAUGAGCAGAGAAUUUUUAUAAAUCUUGGUUGUUUAACAUGUUUUCUACAUAAAACUUAUCUAGUAUAACUUUCUCAUAUAAUUUGUUUUACACAAAAUUUUCAAUCUGAAAACUUUGUUCAUGGUAUCUAUAUAUAGAAAAAAAUGUAGGCUAAUAUAAAAAACAAAGGAAAAACAAGGAAAUAAAAAUAUAAAAGAAAAAGAAAAGAAAAGAGAGUGUUUAUGGAGAUCAAGAAGGUGAGGGGGGAUGCACCUGGACCACGUUAGGAGCAGUAAAACUGUUUGCACCCGAGCAAACAAUCACGAGAUUGGAAUUCGGGAUGAUAUAACGGGCUUCUUCUUCUCUUUCUCCUGUUUUCACUUUAUAUUCCUCUUUUCUUUCUUUGUCUUUUUAUAAAGAAGGUUUUUUUUUGAAUGAAUAAAAAAUGUUUUAGGAGGGAGGAGGAAGCUCUUGGGGCUCCAUUUGUAUAAUAACUUUAUUGUCCGACUUCUUAUUCAUUGCCAUGUCCUCUACUAUCCUAUUGGCCGAUGGAUACACGUAUCCGUGCGAUUUGGUCGAUUUUACAAGUGCUGAAGAAAUGGGAUUGAGAUAGGGAGGUUGUUGGAGAACAAUUUUCUAAUCUUGUCCUAAAAAAGUCUAAAGUGAGAGUGGAUUUUGCAAACUUUUGAGAUGCUCUUAGACCUUGUUUAGUUCGCGAAAUUUUUUGGCUUUGGCUAAUGUAGCACUUUUGUUUAUAUUUGACAAUUAUUUUCCAAUCAUAGGCU